rnacentral:rRNA from 1 species
GAUGAACGCUGGCGGCGUGCCUAAUACAUGUAAGUCGAGCGAACGGACGAGAAGCUUGCUUCUCUGAUGUUAGCGGCGGACGGGUGAGUAACACGUGGAUAACCUACCUAUAAGACUGGGAUAACUUCGGGAAACCGGAGCUAAUACCGGAUGAUAUUUUGAACCGCAUGGUUCAAAAGUGAAAGACGGUCUUGCUGUCACUUAUAGAUGGAUCCGCGCUGCAUUAGCUAGUUGGUAAGGUAACGGCUUACCAAGGCAACGAUGCAUAGCCGACCUGAGAGGGUGAUCGGCCACACUGGAACUGAGACACGGUCCAGACUCCUACGGGAGGCAGCAGUAGGGAAUCUUCCGCAAUGGGCGAAAGCCUGACGGAGUAACGCCGCGUGAGUGAUGAAGGUCUUCGGAUCGUAAAACUCUGUUAUUAGGGAAGAACAUAUGUGUAAGUAACUGUGCACAUCUUGACGGUACCUAAUCAGAAAGCCACGGCUAACUACGUG